rnacentral:tRNA from 1 species
UUAGGGUUAUAGUUAAAAUUAUAACAUUUGAUUUGCAUUCAAAAAUAAUUGAUUAAUUCAAUUUACCUUAAU